GCGAGUCAUUGUAGCAAUACAAGGCAGACGGCUCAGUAACGCGUAGUCAAUCUACCCUAUGGACGGGAAUAACCUCGGGAAACUGAGAAUAAUGCCCGACAGAACAUUAUACCUGGAACGGUUUAUGUUUCAAAUGAUUUAUCGCCGUAGGAUGGGACUGCGGCCUAUCAGUUUGUUGGUGAGGUAAUGGCCCACCAAGACUAUUACAGGUACGGGCUCUGAGAGGGGUAGCCCGGAGAUGGGUACUGAGACACGGACCCAGGCCCUAUGGGGCGCAGCAGGCGAGAAAACUUUGCAAUGUGCGAAAGCACGACAAGGUUAAUCCGAGUGGUUUCUGCUAAAGAAACCUUUUGCUAGUCCUAGAAACACUAGUGAAUAAGGGGUGGGCAAGUUCUGGUGUCAGCCGCCGCGGUAAAACCAGCACCUCAAGUGGUCAGGAUGAUUAUUGGGCCUAAAGCAUCCGUAGCUCGUUUUGUAAGUUUUCGGUUAAAUCCAUACGCUUAACGUAUGGGCUGCCGGGAAUACUGCAUAACUAGGAAGUGGGAGAGGUAGACGGUACUCGGUAGGAAGGGGUAAAAUCCUUUGAUCUAUUGAUGACCACCUGUGGCGAAGGCGGUCUACCAGAACACGUUCGACGGUGAGGGAUGAAAGCUGGGGGAGCAAACCGGAUUAGAUACCCGGGUAGUCCCAGCUGUAAACUAUGCAAACUCAGUGAUGCAUUGGCUUGUGGCCAAUGCAGUGCUGCAGGGAAGCCGUUAAGUUUGCCGCCUGGGAAGUACGUACGCAAGUAUGAAACUUAAAGGAAUUGGCGGGGGAGCACCACAAGGGGUGAAGCCUGCGGU
rnacentral:rRNA from 1 species